rnacentral:rRNA from 1 species
UACAGAGGGGGCAAGCGUUGUUCGGAAUUACUGGGCGUAAAGAGCGCGCAGGCGGUCGACCAAGUCGCGUGUGAAAGCCCCCGGCUCAACUGGGGAGGGUCACGCGAUACUGAUCGACUCGAAGGCAGGAGAGGGUAGUGGAAUUCCCGGUGUAGUGGUGAAAUGCGUAGAUAUCGGGAGGAACACCAGUGGCGAAGGCGGAUCUCUGGGCCUUACCUGACGCUGAGGCGCGAAAGCUAGGGGAGCGAACAGG